CCAGAAUCCUCCUCACCUCUCCGGUCAGCAGGUAGAUGAUCUCCAGGGUGAGUUUCAGUAUGCGCUCGGUCAGGUGACUCCGGUCCUCCUCCAUCUUCAU